UCGGGAAUUUUGGGCAAUGGGCGAAAGCCUGACCCAGAAACGCCGCGUGAGGGAUGAAGUAUUUCGGUAUGUAAACCUCGAAAGAAUGGGAAGAAUAAAUGACGGUACCAUUUAUAAGCUCCGGCUAACUACGUGCCAGCAGCCGCGGUAAUACGUAGGGAGCAAGCGUUGUUCGGAUUUACUGGGCGUAAAGGGCGCGUAGGCGGCGCGGUAAGUCACUUGUGAAAUCUCUGAGCUUAACUCAGAACGGCCAAGUGAUACUGCUGUGCUAGAGUGCGGAAGAGGCAACCGGAAUUCUUGGUGUAGCGGUGAAAUGCGUAGAUAUCAAGAGGAACACCUGAGGCGAAGGCGGGUUGCUGGGCCGACACUGACGCUGAUGCGCGAAAGCCAGGGGAGCAAACG
rnacentral:rRNA from 1 species